CAGCAACAGGUGUGUAUGUCCUAGCUGAAAAUGGACUUUCCGGAGCAGCAGGCUGGGCUGGGCAAUCAGUCAGUGCCUGGACUUUAUCCAAAAGGAGGUGUAGUCAGCCCCGCCUCACUGCGUACCCAAGGGAGAUUCUCCCAUCAUUUCUGGUCUUGGGGGACCCUUUGGAAAUGACAACCUGAAUUGCCAGUCUGACCCAAAUCCAUCACUAAAUAUAUCAUCUCUAGCUCACGGGAUAAUGCAUUAUGUUGGUUCAACAUGAUGCCCUUAAAACUUGGCAGUAAUUUUUGGAGAGAAACAACCAUGUUUUCCAAGUUGUAUUUUCUAAGAAAUAAAAUUGUUUGAAGUGCCUGAAGUUAUUUGCUUGAUGAAACACAGUUGGCCAAGAAGGUCCCUGCAAUGACUUGCUCAACAAAACACUCUGUGCCAGCUGUGCCUAAAAUAAUUUUGUUGACUAAAUGAAUUUUGUCAUCUGUGCAGGAAGUCAUUAUGGAGUGGGGAAAAUAUGCAAUGACGAAGUACAAAAUGAUUUCUGUUGAUCUAAAAAAUUCAGGGUUGUCAUUCCGGAGCAUUUCCACAAAUGUGCACCGUGAAGGCCACGGACUGCGUCAGCCUCUCCCAUGGUUCUGUUUGCUGCCGGAGCUCUGAUUAGCUCAGACCAGCCA